GAGAAUUCCCUCACCCCAGCCCAACUACGCCCGAACCCCCUUGGCUACCCCGACACGACCUAUUCUUUACCAAAUACACCCACAAACACAAAAACAAACGGUCAAACCCUAAUCUCUAACACCCCAGAUGCGACUGUUCUUAUUCUCCAAUGAAUCACUCAAAUCCAGCCCCUAUUUCUACCCAAAUCUAUGGCAAGUGGGCAUCAAACCCAUAACCACGCGUCCUCUCCCUCUCUCCUCUUGCCAUUUCUAACAAUUUCUGACAGCUUCCCUCUCCUUCACAUGCCCUCUCUUUGUUUUUUCGGAUUUUUACCCUUAUAGAUGGAAAUUAGGAAAAAUGAGAGGUAUAGGAUCAAGUGAAAUUGGAUCUACUCCCUCCAUUUGUCCAUUUUAUCCAUAAAAAAGGGUAAAUAUAAUAUUCAGAAUUGGACUAUUUUUGGAUAUUGCUUGGGAAGUAAGCAUAGAAGCUUCGAGAUCUUCUGAGGUAUAUAUAUAAGGUGCGGUCAUUUCUUGUGGGAGGGGAAGAAGGUUUUCAGAGGGAUUUCUGUUCUGAAGAGAUUUCUUCUAAAGAAAAUUAUUCCUUUUUCAGAUAUCCGAACAAAAAAAAACAUAUGAUGGAAGUUUCACACUUGAUAUCAGUUUUAAUUAGCAUUUCCAAAUAAUAAUAGAGUUUUUCUACUUCAGUCAUGUUUUUGGAAGAAUAAUGGAAUAAGUGUGAGUCUAUUACUACUUCAGAUGAAUGCCUAUUUUUGUUUCAAAUUUGGCAUCAACAAUAGCAUCUCUCUGAAUUCAGUUUGUCAUCCCUUAACCUUGUGUUAGAGAAAAUUUCUAACCAAAGAAAGAGGGAAGAAAUUUGAAGUUCUGAUUUUGUAGUUCUAUUAGUAAGAUAACAGUUUGCCAAUUAUUUUCUCAUGCUGAUUCCAAGUAUUUGCUAAAGGUUGAUUUUUUUGGAUAUUGCAAUUUUCCUUAGUUUAGGUGUAACCUCUCAGUUGUCUUAAUGUAAUAACGUAAAUAUUACAUCUGUCACAAUGAGGACAAUUGAAUGAAUUGAGCUCAUACUAAAAUGUUUGUUGACAACAUGAAUUUAGCCCUAGUACAUAUUUUAUACGCUCUGGGCGUCACUUUCUUUGAUUAGGUGGUAUGGAGGGAGGUUUUAUACACUUGGGCAUAUUUUUCGACUUUCUCAUGUUGCCAAAAUAAAUCAACACAAAUAUAUUGGUUAAGUAUCUUAUAGAUCUUUUUCUUUCCUUCUAGCGUUGAAAAUGUCGCUCGAAGUUUUCUUCCCUUAACAUGUAAAUCUCGAUAAUAUUGAAUAAUGCUCAUGACUCUAUGUUCACAUAUCUAAGCAUGAAAAUAAGUACGCUUACUUGAGUUAAUUUUGGAAUAGUUUGGAUUUACUUUGCUUAAUUUGAUUCAUCCCCUUCCUGUUUCCCAUAAUUGUUGAUGAAGUAACAUGCUGAGAACUACUGUUUAGUUGGUCAUAAAAGGAAGUAGACAGGAUUCUGAGUGUAAUUGGUUUGUCGUUAAGGACAUGACUGUAUUAACGGGGAACUGAAGCAACAGCGUAAUGAACUUCCUUCGAUCUCUCUUGUGCUUUUCUGAUAAACUGCAGAAACAGUUAGAUUCACUUGAGCUUUUGAACCUGGAAUCACUUCUUCUUGCGAUGUUUGCUGUUAACGAUGUCGAUUUUUAGGGAGUUCUUUUGGAAUAGCUUGGUUUUUUUUAGCUUCUAAAGGUGUUGGAAAAGAGUUAUUCAUUUUACCAUUUCAAUUUUUUUCAGGAAUUGGAGUUGUUAAUGGUAGGACUUGUGAGAUCCAAAUUGGAAACCUUAAGCGUGAUAUUGGUCCUUUGUUUCUCCUUCCCCUUUGCUUGAUGUUUUUCUGUUAUGUUGUAAAUAUUUCUUGAAGCAUCAUAUGGAUCACUCUCACCCUUGUCAAAUUAAGGAUCAAUAAGCUUACUUUACUCAUUUCUCAGUAGGUUUGACGGGUCUUCUUUUGCGGCAGCUUAGGGUUAAUUAAGGUCUUAAUAUAGUUAUUGUAAAUUUCAGAUGUUCAGAAGCAUAUGCAAUAAGUUAUCGGGCUACCUUUUGGGCCU
rnacentral:lncRNA from 1 species